CGCGGCAAGACGGAAAGACCCCGUGAACCUUUACUAUAGCUUGACACUGAACACUGGUCCUUGAUGUGUAGGAUAGGUGGGAGGCUUUGAAGCGUGGACGCCAGUCUGCGUGGAGCCGUCCUUGAAAUACCACCCUUUAAUGGCUGGUGUUCUAACGUAGGCCCGUAAUCCGGGUUGCGGACAGUGUCUGGUGGGUAGUUUGACUGGGGCGGUCUCCUCCUAAAGAGUAACGGAGGAGCACGAAGGUUGGCUAAUCCUGGUCGGACAUCAGGAGGUUAGUGCAAUGGCAUAAGCCAGCUUGACUGCGAGCGUGACGGCGCGAGCAGGUGCGAAAGCAGGUCAUAGUGAUCCGGUGGUUCUGAAUGGAAGGGCCAUCGCUCAACGGAUAAAAGGUACUCCGGGGAUAACAGGCUGAUACCGCCCAAGAGUUCAUAUCGACGGCGGUGUUUGGCACCUCGAUGUCGGCUCAUCACAUCCUGGGGCUGAAGUAGGUCCCAAGGGUAUGGCUGUUCGCCAUUUAAAGUGGUACGCGAGCUGGGUUUAGAACGUCGUGAGACAGUUCGGUCCCUAUCUGCCGUGGGCGCUGGAGAACUGAGGGGGGCUGCUCCUAGUACGAGAGGACCGGAGUGGACGCAUCACUGGUGUUCGGGUUGUCAUGCCAAUGGCACUGCCCGGUAGCUAAAUGCGGAAGAGAUAAGUGCUGAAAGCAUCUAAGCACGAAACUUGCCCCGAGAUGAGUUCUCCCUGAGACUUAGAGUCUCCUGAAGGAACGUUGAAGACGACGACGUUGAUAGGCCGGGUGUGUAAGCGCAGCGAUGCGUUGAGCUAACCGGUACUAAUGAACCGUGAGGCUUAACCUUACAACGCCGAAG
rnacentral:rRNA from 1 species